rnacentral:misc_RNA from 1 species
AAUGCCAAACAACAUAUAUAUAUAUCAGCGUGAGACACUCCACUCGUGAUUUCUUGUGGAAAACAAAAGCAAAUAAAGUAGCAAGGAGAUCCCUAUCCUGUUUCCCACCAUCUCUUGAAAUAGUCAACAAUUGAAAUCAAGAUUAACUCUGAAUCAUGCUGCAAGUACUAUGAUAACAAUAAGAAGCACAAUCCCAAAAAUUACCAACAACAAGCAUGUCAGAGAAGAAUUUGAUCUUUGGGUUUUUGCUGCUUUCACAAGUUGUGUUUUUCCCUGUGCAGUGGCAGCUUGAGCAUUUUCAAUAUGGGAACCAAUAUCAUCAAUCAUAGCUCCUUGCUCAUGAACAAGGACAGCAAGAUCUUUAAAAAUCUCAUUCACCUCACCAAUUUGCUGCUGAAUUUCUUGUAUUCCCUGCUCUCUUUCCUCAAUGAUUGCCUCAUUGAAGGCAAUCUCAUUGUCCAACAGCAGGACCUCCUGUCUUCUUGAUUCCACAAGAAGAGCACGCUGCUCUAGACUCGUGUCGGAAUUUAUGUCCAUUUCACUAGCUGUAUAGCUUGAAGGAAGAACUGCCUGGGCAACAAAAGGGGUGUAUGCUGUUUCCCUCUCAGCUGCAAGCCGUUGAGCCUUUUGAAAUUCUUUCAAAACUGCUUGAAAAUCUUUUGCAAGUUUAGCAUCAGCAAUCUUUUUGCUUUGACUAACUCCAGCAUGAUGAUCUGUUUCACUUGCUUGUUUAAGUUUUGCUGAAGUAUCCUUAACCAACUGCCCAAUAUGUAGUCUUGUCUUGUGCAGCUUCUCACGGAGCUCAGGAGUAUCCUUGGGAGUGCCAAGGGUAUUAACAAGACGUUGAAACGUCGAAACGGCGGUGGUUAUCUGGAAGAUUCCAGACACAACCGCUUGCGUAGCGUCUUUCUUGCCAUUGUUGAGGUCUCUCCUAGAGGCCGCCAAGGGCCGCCCAGCCUCGAGAUCUUGAAAGCUCAUAAUAAUCUAAAACUACGUCAAAAUAUCAAAGGAUCAAUCACGCCCUUCCCAAACACUUUCUCGAGAAAAUCGACGAGAAAGGAAUGGAAAGCGGGCGUUUGGGUACAAAGAUCAGAAAAAAGUUUGAGAGAGAGAGAGAGAUGACGAUGAUUUACG